rnacentral:lncRNA from 1 species
UUUUUUUUUAUGUUGGUUUAGGGGUUAAAUUUGGUUCUAGAGGUUGAGUUUAGAAUGAUAAUAGGUUUAGGAUUCAAUGACUUUGUAAAAGAUUGUAGUAUGGGUGGAAAUGAUAAAUUAGUGAUAAACUUGAGGAUGAUUUUUCGUUUUUUUUAUUUUGGUCGAUGUUAUGAUAAAUUGACUUUUUUUUUAACAACAAUUAUCAAUAUAAAUUUUAGUUUUCUUAUUAGUGUUAGUUUGUUUUUGACCGCCUCCGAAUGUACCAACGUCCAGAGUAAAAAACCUGCACAAAAUAUGUCAAAUAGGCGGUGUUUGCAAGUAUAUGAGUCAGGUUGUAAUAUAGUUACAACGAAGUAGGUGAGUACUCUGAGGAUCGUACCCAAGAGAGGCGAGCACUAAAUUAAUCCCAACCUAAGCACAAAUAGAGCUAAUUAGUACUUUAAAUAAAUUAUAUUGCGAAUAAACAUAAAGAAAGAUUUUUUGUGUUUUAAUAAAUAAAGAAUAAAAUAUUAUAAAGGGAAGACUUUGAGAAAUUUGAUAUGGAAACCGAAUCAAAUCUGAGCAUGGGUGAUUUUAGCUCGCUUCGGUAAGCAUAAAUAAUUGUUUGUUCGAGUUCCUUGUUCAAUCAACUAGUUGUUACCCUAGCAAGAUCUCUCGAUCUUCCACCAGAAUAAUGAGUCAAUAAGAAUAAUUUAUCUCUCGACCGCACAGUCCAAACAAAUUCAGGGCUAAGGUGCUCACGAACAUGCCAUACCAAUUUUGGGUUAAUUCCCACCUAGAUGACUUCCUAGGGUCGGCAAGCCUAGGGUUUAAGUUCUUCCUCUCCCAAAUAACUGAUCCGCUAAAAAAAUUUGCACAACAAUCAAUUAAUCAUACCUCCACUCGCUAAUACCCCAUAAGAGGAUUAGUUUUUCAUAGAUCUCAAAAACAUAAUAAACUUGACGUAGAAGAUGAACAUUAAUAAUAAAUCAAGAGACAAAGGUUUAAGAGAAUCUUAAAUUAUAUUUAAUUAAAGCACUAAAUCCACAAAGAGUUGAUCAAGUUCCACAAAUCAGAUCUCCCGACAAACGCAAAACUGACAAUAACCUAAAGCCUAAGAAAAAAUAAAAAAUAAAAACUAAAAAUUACAAAGAAAAUUAUAAGGUAUCAAAAGCUAUCCAUAACAAGUGUUAAAUGAGCCUAUUUAUAGAGUUAGGGUUGUCAUUAUCCUCAACCCUAGGUCAGCUGAUACUUUCAUGUUUAAUGUUCGAUUGUGUAGACCAAAACGCCCCUAACUUGUAAGUAUUUCUCAUACAGGACCGAUUUUGCGACACCCUAGUGCCUGUGUUGCGACAUCAAAGGCAAUAUACUCGUAUUCAAGGUAGCGUCAAGGGUGUGUCGCAACAUCCAUUGGUUAUGUCAUGACACUGAAGGCGGUCUUGGAAUUCUUUCUCUCUACUCCUUAUGUUGCGACAUCAAACUCCCCGUGUUGCAACACAAUGACCAAUAUUAAAUUAGUGCGCCCUCUAAUGGCUCAUGCACACUCACAAAGUAUAUUAGCUCAUCCUUAGGCCUCAUUCGACCCCUAAGGUCAAUAAAAGACUCAAAUUACACUUUUUAUUGAAUGUAAAUAAACUUAUAAAAACUCAACUAAAACAUAAUAAAACGUUUGUAUUCAAUCUCCUUAAAUGCAAAAACUAGUUUAAUUUGCUACACCGAAUUACAGCAGAUCAAACUCCCCUACACUUCAGUCAUUGCUUGUCCUCAAGCAAAGCAAACAAAAGCAGCAAUUAAAGGACGACCUUUAAAAAAUAUGGUACAAAUGUUAGUUUUGGAGCACAUGACUAGGCAUUUUAUAUUUACACAUAAUCUUGGCAUGAUAUAUAGCUGACUUACCACUUUUGAUAUCAAACACCAAAGUUCAGUAUAUUACAAAGCAUACAAACAUUAAGGGUUUCAAAUGUAAGGAUCCAUCAACAAGUUAUACAGGUAAUUUAAUUAGCCUAGUAGAAUACAAACAAUUGUAAAUACAAUUAUUAGUAUGAUAUCAAUUCGUAAAUAAGUCUACUUAGAUCACAUAGGACUUUUCAGCUUGUAAUGUUCUAAGGCUUAAAACGAGUAUGGAAUUCAAAAACAGUAAGCAUCAAAUAGUUUCAAGCAUGAAAAUAGUUUUGCACAUUGUAUUGUUCACUAUUCUCCCCCUAGCAACCCUUACUUGUUCACCACCUUAUUUCUCCUUCUCUCGCCUUCCUUAUUUCUCCACAUAGGAAAUCACAACAUAGUACAACAACUAUGGCUAGAUCAUGAGUUUGUGUGCACUAAUGAACGAGCCUUUCUAUUUUUGGUAACUUUGCCACUUUUCUUUCCUUUUUUCAAUACAUUUCUCAUUCACGACUGCUUUUAAUUUCAAGAACUUUUUAUACUUGUUUUUAAUUUUCUUUAUGAGUUUUUCUUUUUCUGCACGUAUUGACUAACCUGUAAUCACUCUAUCGCACUGAUCCUUCCUAUUUCACUAUAUUUUUACAAAAUUCUGUUGUAAUGUAUCUACUUAACCCUUAAUACAUAUGGCCAGACAUCUAUAGUUGUGUAGUUUAUGACCAAAGAAAAAGGGAAAAUACAAAUGAAUGUUUUUUGCUCGAAUUUUGCAUGAAGGUUCAUCAAGAAGUGUUUUCUGGCUUAAAUAUAGGUACUAAGGAUGAAUAAAUAGGGCUAGCUUUUUUGCUCUGGGUGUAUACUAAACAAAACAUUAGGUCAUCCCUAAGUAUCUCAAUAUUCACAAAUUUAGUCAACCAAACAAUCACAAAUUCAACAAUUUAUCAUAUAUACUAGCAUACUCAUUUCCUUGUAUUUCUUAUAUCAUAUGGUACAUUCAAUUGCUCAAUGUCUAUUUACAGUGUAAUAUAUAGUCUAAUAAUAAAAAAUUUAAAAUAAUCUACUAUCAUGCCAAAUUUAUAGUAAAUACAAUCAACCUAUAUACAUGCUCUUAACCAAUCACUUGUAUUUCUACAAGCUCAAGCACACCAUUGUCAAGAAAAACAUAAACAUUGAAACAAAUUUUCUAUAUUACCCAUUCACAAUUUAGAUAACAUAUUGUCCUCACUGUAUAGUCUUGAAAAGAUAAGGAAAGAAGUUACACGAUUGAACGUGGUAGUUCCGUAAGCUACUGGUGGGUACUUCCUCCUUUGAUUUACGAUGUUUGUGCUUCUAUUGUGUGGGGAUUUUAUUAAAAAAUUCAUCAAUAUAUUUUUUUCAAUUCUACUAUUUCAUCAAAUAUGAUUAAUUACAAUAUCCUAAAAGAAAAAAAGUAACUUUCCUAGCGUAAAAUAAACUAAACUUAAAAAUUGUCCUAUUAUAUAUAUAAGUAUAUACAUUUUAUUACUCAUCUUCCCUUUGAAGUCAUCUUUUCCUCCUCUUUUCUUUUUGUUUUCUCUCUAAUAUUAAAAAUUGCUUAUAAACAUUGUCUCCUAGAAACUUUUUUGGAGAAAGUUUUUUGGAGGUUUAUCUCCUUAUCCAUCCCUUCCAUAGGUACUCCGGCUCUUUUACACAACUCCGUUAUAAGGUGUGGAAAGAAGGUUCCUUUUGCCUGAUUUCUUAAACAUUCAAUCAUGUUUCGAUAUAUCCAAUUACCAGUACAUAUUUGCUUCUUUUAUAAGAUUGUAUAAACUAGAAAAAUUUGUGUUGGGUUGAUGUCGGCUAUUGGCCAAAUUCUCGAACAUACAAACUUUAUCCAUAUUUUUGCUAUUGGAGUCAUUAACACUUGGUUGAAUGUCUCAUGUAUUGCUGUGUUUGUUUGAUACGUCUAUACUUUUUUCCCUUCUGUUAAAAAUCUCAGAACCUCCUCCAUGUCUACUUUUUUAAAUUCUUUGAGAUCUAUUUUGUAUAGGUAAUCUCGGUAACAAUACGAAGCAUCAUAAAAUUGACAAAUACUUCUUUCAGUUACCAGAACGUUUAACCCUUUGACUUAGACAUAUGUCCGUAGCUCAUAAUACGGUCUUGUCGAUUCUCUCUCUUUUAACGCAAAAUAGAAUUCCUGCACCACGGGUAUUAUUGUUGGUUCUUCAAGUGGCAAGCAAAAGUUAGUCCAUUCUCUUUCUGUUGCAAUUUCCCACACUCCUUUACAGUUUCUCAUUAAUGGGUCGAAUCCUUAUUCUUGGAUGAAUGUGUAUGGCUGCAAUUGUUAUAGAUAUUUGUCUAUGUUGUUUUCCUAAAAUUCAACAAAUGCAUUUAUAAUGUAAUAUCAAAAUAUAUAACUAUUCAAAUCUGAAUGUUGUUGUGGUAUGGCUCUCCGAGAUUAUGGUGUUUCUUUGAAUAGAGACAGAGAGAUCUUAUUCUUUACACAAUGUUUGGGGAUAAUGAAAAGAUUUAGGUGGUCUAUUUAUCUUAGAGGAAGAUAAUGAUAUAAUUAAGAGUUAUAGUUAUGUUAGUUAAAUUAUUCCUGAUCAAUGAAGAGUUAAAAAAUUCUACUAAAAUUCAAUUAUAAAAACAUCAGAUGUUAGUUAAAAGAUGGACCACAACUUACGUAGAGGUGUCGCAACAUCUUCUAUGAAUGUCGCGAUGUUGAGGACAAUUUACCUAUGCUAAAUUUUGUAUGGUGUCAUAACAUGCAUGGCUAGUGUCGCGACGUUGAUGCCAGUUUUUUCUGUCCUCUUUCUCUACCUUAGGAUCUUCUGUUGCCUCAUUUUCUUCAUUUAUUUCUCAUUCACUUUCUAAUAUACUCUCGUUCCUAUAAAAAUUUGCAUUGUAAGGCUUGAGUGUCAAUUAUUUCCUUGGUUGUCCUCCCGAAAUAAUGUUUUACUCUCUAUCCAUUUACCAAAAAUAGUUGUCCUUCAUUUAAAAUAAGUUCUAUUGCCCCAUGAGGUGUUACCUGAUUUAUAGUGUAUAGGCCAGUCCAUUUGGAUUUCAACUUACUAGGGAAUAAUUUUAAUAUCGAAUUAAACAACACUUUUUGUCUAGGAAAAAAUUCACAUUUUCGUAUUUUUUCGUCAUACCUAGGUUCGCUUCUCUCCUUGUAUAGCUUGGUGUUUUCGUAAGCCAUAAAAUGAAAUUCUUCCAAUUCUUGUAAUUGAAAUAGUCUCUCUUUCUUGGCUAACUCUGGAUCUAAUUUCAGUUAUUUGAUUGCCUAGUAUGUUUUCUUUUCUAAUUUAACCGGCAAGUGAAAAUUUUUCCCAUAAACAAAUAUGUAAUGAGGCAUUCCUAACAGAGUUUUGUAUGUUGUUCUGUAGCCACCUACGUAUCGUCUAAUCUUGACGACCAAUAUUUCCUACUUGGAUUACUUGGAUUUACCAUUUUUCAAGAAUUCAUUUAAUCUUCCGGUUGGACACCUUUACUUGGCCAUUAGCUUAUAGAUGGUAUGCUGUUACCAUCCGAUGUCUCACACUGUACUUGACUAGAGUAGCUUCAAACUGUUUACUGCAAAAAUGAGAUCAUUCAUCACUUACCAAAGUAAGAGGUGUUCCAAAUCUAGCAAAUAUAUUUUUUUCUUAAGAAUCUAACUACUGAUUUUGUAUGAUUAGUAGGUAAUGCCACUACUUCGAACCAUUUGGAAACAUAAUCAACAGUUAAUAGGAUGUAUUGAUUCCCAAAAGAACUUGGAAAAGGGUCCUAUGAAGUCAAUUCCCCAAACAUCAAAUACUUCUACUUCGAGUAUCUCAAUUUGUGGCAUUUCAUCUCUUCUCGAUAUAAUUCUAGUUCUUUGGCAUCUAUCACAUCCUUGUACGAAUUCAUAAGCAUCUCUGUUCAUAGUCGACCAACGAAAUCCUGAUUGCAGUACUUUCCAAACUGUCUUUUUUUGUCGAAAUACCUCCACAUAGUGAUGUAUGACACUCUUGCAAAAUAUCGUUUACUUCUUUUUUUCCAUACAUCUUAGUACUAAUUGAUCUGUGCACUGCUGGAAUACAUACGGAUCUUCCCAAGUAUAAUUUUUUGAUUCAUGCAUGAUCAUCUUUUUUUGUUGCCAUGAUACUUGUGGUGGAAAAACGUCUUUAGCAAUGUAAUUCACAUAAUCUGCAUACCAUGGUGUGCUAUUACUUCUGACCCUCAUUUGCUAGGCAUCUAUCCUAAAUAAUUGUUCAUCUAUGAAGGUCUCAUUCAUUUCUUUAGAGUUUUGCUAUUCUAAAUCAUUUUUUGUUCUAGAUAAAUGGUUUGUGAUCUGAUUUUCUAUUCAUUUUCUAUCUAUUAUCCAAAGGUCAAAUUCUUGAAGUAGUAAUACUCAUCUCAUUGACCUGCCUUUUGUUUCUUUCUUUUUCAUAGCGUACUGUAAUGUAGAGUGGUCAGUUUAAACAUAAACUCUAUUGCCAUCAAAUAAGGGUGAAUUUUUUUACAAGAAAACAUGAUAGCAAGCAUUUCUUUUUCAGUAUUAGUAUAAUUAAAUUAUGCUAAAUUAAGUUUCUAACUUGCAUAAUGAAUAGCUCCAAACAUGUUGUUUCUCUUUUGUCCCAAUACUACUCCCACGGCAUAAUCGCUAGUGUCGUACAUUAUAGUAAAGGGUUCUGACUAGUUAGGAGUAAUGAUUAUAGGUGCAGAGAUAAGUUUUUUUUAUUAUUAUCUUAAAUGCUUUGAUACAAUCAUGAUCAAAUAUAAAAGGUAUCUUCUUCUGAAGCAGUUGAUCCAAUGGUUUAGAAAUGUGAGCGAAAUAUUUUAUGAAUCACUUGUAGAAUCCAGUAUUACCCAAAAAUUUUCUCACUCCUCGAGCUGUUGUAGGGUUUAGGAUAUUUUUGAUAACUUAGAUCUUAGCCUUAUGUACUUUUAGACCUUUCCUUGAUAUUUGAUUUCCCUGCAACAAUCUUUCUUUUACCAUAAAGUGACAUUUUUCCCAAUUGAGUACUAGAUUGGUUUCUUCGCAUCUUUGUAGAACUUUCUCGAGGUUAUCCAAGCAUUUUCGAAAGGAUUCUUCAUAUACUGAGAAAUCAUCCAUGAACGGAUCCAGGUCUUCUUCCAGCAUAUUAGCAAAAAUAAUAGACAUGCACUACAUAAGCAUUACAUAGUCCGAAUGACAUUCGUCUAAAAGCAUAUGUGCCAAAAGGACAUGUAAAUGUGGUUUUUUCUUAAUCAUUUGGAUGUAUUAAAAUUUGAUGAUAUCCAAAAUAUCCGACAAGUAAACAAUAAUGCUAUUUUUCUGUUAAUCUAACGAGCAUUUGAUGAAUAAAAGGAAGUGAGAAAUGAUCUUUUUUUGUUGCAUCAUUUAAUUUUUGAUAGUCUAUACAUACCUUCCAACUAGUGAUUGUCCUUGUUGGUAUUAACUCAUUCCUAUCAUUCUAAACCACUUUAAAUCCCCCUUUCUUUGGGAUGUAUUAUGUCAGACUGACCCAUUUACUAUCAGAUAUUGCAUAAAUAGUACCCGCAUCCAGCCAUUUAAGUAAUUCUUUUUUACCACUUCUUUCAUAGCCGUAUUUAACCGGAGCUGUGCAUCUACCACUGGUUUUCUCCCUUCUUCUAAUCUAAUCUUAUGUUGAAAGUACAAGAUUGAUUCCCUUAAUAUUAGCAAUCGUCAAUCCAAUGGCUUUUUUGUGAGUUUUUAAAAUACUUAACAAUGCCUCUUCUUGCUUCGAACUUAACCUAGCAGCUAUAAUCACAGUAGUGUAUUUUAUUCCCCCAAAUAUCCAUACUUUAAGUGUUUUGGUAAUUGCUUUAACUCUAACUCGGGCAAUUUGAUAAUGGAGGGUACCAUUCUUAUUGUAUUUAGAUUAAUUUGUUAUGGUUGUCCCUUGCUGUACCGCCAUCGAUCAAAUUGAGCUAUCUGGUCAUUUUCUUGUUCUGUAUCAUCCUAUUUCUCUUCUUUCGAUUCAUAUUUACCGUGCUCAGCCAAAUUUGCUAUGAUCGAUUGCAGUUUGUUGCACUUUUGCUUUUCUGACUUGGAUUCUACCAGUUGCCCAGCUUCCAACUCUUGAUGUUUCCCCCAGGUAAAUUCAUUCAUUUUCACUAAAAUCUUAUAAUAUUUCCAUGACUUCCUUUUCGAUUUUCUUCUAGAUACUUCCCCCAGUUAUAAUGUCAAAUUUUUUUUUCCUAUUUUGGCUAUCUAAUCCAUCGUGGAAAUGUUGGAUUUAGACCGCAAAAUGUAUGUCUCCUCCUAGCACUGACCCAAGAAUUGUUUUGAAUAUUUCCCAUGCUUGCCCUAAUGUUUUAGUAAUGCACUGUUUGAAUUAAAAUAAUUUUUCAUAAAUACUAAAUACCUUAGUCAUAGGCAAAACCUGUCGAAGAAAUAAUCACACAAAAUUAGCUCAUGUAAUGAUAGUGUUAGGUAGAACUGCAUCUAACUAGGCUUUCGCUUUCUCAUCCAAUGCGAAUGGUAUUAGUAAUAAUUUAAUAGUAUCUGUUGGAACCCCAACAUAAGCAAUAGUGUUGCAUAUGUGUUUAAACUACUAGAGGAAGGCUAUAAGAUCCUCUAUUUUAUAAUUAUUAAAUUUGACAUUAUUAGAAAUCCAGGUUAGUAAUGAAUGAUUUAAUUCAAAAUGAGGACCAUAAAUAAUGGGGCGUGUAAUACUAGAGCGCAACCACACUGCAUAAAAAAAACUCCUAAUGCUUGCAUCAUGUCAUUAAAGGUUACUUAUUAGAUUGCAAAGGUCAAAUAUUAUUGGUGCUUGAUCUAUGGUAUAACUGUAAAGAAUUAGUUGUUAAUCAUUUUAGAUAUGUAAGAAUCCUUGCGAAUGUCUUCCUAUACCUUGAAAUCAUAAAAACAAACAAACAAAAAAAACAAAUAAUAGGGUGUCAAUAAAGUUAAAAUAUAGAACCCAUAUCUAUUAUUUGUUAAUUUCCUAAUUAUUUUAUUAAGUAAAAAAAUUAAAAUCAAUAUAGUGAUGUUGCCUCCUUGAAAAUGAUUCCAACAACUUGACCGCCUCCUAACGUACCGACUUGUCUCCAAGUAUACGAGUCAAGUUUUAAUAUAGUUACAACAAAGUAGGUGAGUACUUUGAGGAUCAUCCCAAAGGGAGGCAAGCACUAAAUUAAUUCUAAAUUAAGCACAAGUAGAGCUUAUUAGUACUUUAAAUAAAUUAUAUUACGAAUAAACAUAAAGAAAGAUUUUUGGGUAUUUUUAUAAAUUAAGAAUAAAAUACUAUAAAGGGAAGACUCUGAGAAAUUUGAUAUGGAAACUGAAUUAGAUCUGAGCAUGGGUGAUUAGUUCGCUUUGGUAGUUAUAAAUAAUUGUUGCUUCACGUUCCUUAUUCAAUCAACUUGUCGUUACCCUAGUAGGAUCUCUCGAUCUUCCACCAGCAUAACGAGUCGGGAAAACUAGUUAUCUCUCAACCUCAUAGUCCAGACCAGUUCGGAGCUAAGGUGUUCAUGGAUAGACCAUACUAAUUUUGGGUUAAUUCCCACCUAGAUGAGUUCCUAAGGUCGUCAAGCCUAGGGUUUAAGUUCUUUCUCUCCCAAACAACUGAUCCUCUAAGAAAACUCUACACAACAAUCAAUUAAUCAUACCUCCACUUACUAAUCCCCCAUAAGAGGAUUAGUUCCUCAUGGAUUUCAAAAACAUAAUAAACUUUAUGUAGAAGAUGAACAUUAAUAGCAAAUCAAGAGACGAGGGUUUAAGAGAAUCCGGAAUUGUAUUUAAUUGAAGUACGAAAUCCACAAAGAGUUGAUCGAAUUCCACAAAUCAGAUAUGUUGCUCGACUUAACUAAAGCCUAACAUGAUUAGUAUCUUUCCACUACAUUAAAAGAUAAUGAGUUUUUUUUUCAAAACAAAGCAAUAAACAACGAAUUUCCCAAAAACGUCACUAUCAUUAGUAAAAUGGAUCUUAAGUAUAGAUGGCUAAAUAAGUGAAAGUUUUCAAACUAAUUCUAAUGUAACCGCAAUUUUACCAAAGUGAAAUAAAAUAGGGUUUUUAUGGUCUAUGGGGUUAGUCAUUUUGAUUAAUAAUGUAGUCUUCAUGAUCUGGCCAUAACUUCUAGAACGGGUUGGGGAGGUUACAGGAUGGUUACCCACGUAUUCCUUUGUAUUCACGUUGAUUCAUCAUGUUGAUUGUUCUUGAAAUAAAAAUGCUAACAGUAUGAUUUAUAUGAAUUGAUGUAUGAAUGAGUAACGAAAUGAUGGAUAGGUUAUAUGUUUGAAUGGGAUGUACUCAACUUGUACAUGUGUAAUGUGUUAACAGGAUCAAGAAUUUAGUUAAGUUAUAUGUGUGUUUAAAUGUUUUGCUAGGUGAGUUUAAUGUAUUAAAAUCUAUGAACUUACUAAGCAUAUUUAAUGCUUACCUCGUUUAAUUUUUCCUUUCCUUGUAGAGUUUUGGUGGAACUCAGUAGGCAGAUUGAUCCACAAUUUACACUAUCUAGCUUAUGUUUCGAUAGAAUUAUUUUUAACUCUACCCAGGUUAAUGGCAUAUAUAUGGGGUCCAUUUAGCAGAACUGUACGUGAAAGAAUGACAAUGUUUUGAAUGAGGUGUAUAUAUAUGUAGUUACUCUAUUGUGAUACUUGUUUAAUGUUAGCGUAGACUAUUAGUAUGCUUGAAAUAGAAAUAUUUGCAUGCGAUAAAUAUGCACUUACUUCUGGAUAAUUAUCGGUGGAUUGUUUUGGCGAACACUCAUAGCGUUAUCAAAAUUCCUAGAGGACAGUUGACCCUCUAUAAAUGUGUUACCGCUGAUAGAAUAAAUAUUACACCAAAAAUAUAAGAAUUAAGACCGAUGGUGUCCACAAGUGCACGAGUCAAAUUGUAAUAUAGUUUUAUAAAAUACUUGAAAGUAUUCCGAUGAUUGUACUCAAUAGAGGAUGGAAUAAAUAAUGAAAACAUUUUUACAAUAACAAGUCCAAGUAGUAGUAAUUAAUCCCUAUAUUACGAUAAACCAUAAAAUAAGUUGAAGAGAUAAAAAUAAAUAAAUAAAGAAAAAUAAACAAACGAAAUAAAUCAAUAAACCAAUUAAGAAGAUUAACUCGCUUUAGGGUUUGUAACUAACUUUGGAUUAGGGUUUUAGGGUGAAUUAGCUACCGAUUAACCAAUUAUUAUCUCCUGGUCUCUAAUUAACUAAUCGAUUGGUUGAUACUCGCUUAUCUCCUGACCUCACUUUCUCAACUAAGAUAAAUUACGAUUUAAUUAAUUUAACUUAUCUCUCAACCUCAUCUAGCCUAUGGUAACUUUUUAGGGUUGUCAAUCCUAGUGGAUUAAACAUACGUAAUUCAUACCAACUAAUCUUUCUCAAGAAACCCUAAAUCCUUUAUUAAUCACAUCUCUAUUCACUCAUUAAUAUCCUCUAAGGGAUUUAGCUACUUACGUUAUUCAUAUUCUCUUCCUUGAUUGAACAAAUCAUGUGAAGAACAUGAUAGACUCGAAAGAGAAAAGAGAUUUGAAUAACCGUGGAUUGAAUAUCGAAUGAGUAACAAAGUAGUAAAUCUCUUUAUUGGAAUAAAGAAUUAAAUCAAUUGCAAAAGCACACAAACUGAAGUACUUGAAUUAAAUAGAUAGACUCUUGAAUCAAAACUGAUUUCAAGAGGAAAAACAAAAAGUAUUGAAAAAACCGAAAAGAAAAUAAUCUAAUCCUACUCCUAAACUACUAGGGGUUUUUUGAAGGUAUCUAGGAUGACUUAGUUACAUUCAACCCCUAAUGUCUUAUUUAUAAAGGUUUCGGCAACGCAAAUUAAGUCUUCAGCACGUCUUAGGUCUUUGUAUAAGUUUAAUUGCGUGGACAAAAAUAACCCUGAUAAACUUGGGUAGCACGUCAAUGUGUGUCGCGCCACACCCCUUGAAUGGUGUGACACAACACCCACUUCCAACCUUGUGUCAUUUGUUUGGUACUUUGACGUCCUAGGAGGCUUGCACAUCACUCGUCCUUUGCUUCCAUGUCAAUUGGGCCUUUAUAUCUUCAUCCUACUCAAUUGAACAUAUUAGCACAACCUAAGGCUCAUAUCGGCCUAUUAGGUCACAACAUCCACAAAAUGUGUUAAAAACACUUAUUUUAUUAACUUUUACUCUUAAGGCCUAACUACUGAAAACAUAGUAUAAAAUCCUAAAUUGCUUAUAAAACAAGCUCGUUAAGUGCGGAAUUGACCCAAAUUAACAGCUACAUUUGAUGACAGGUCAACAGUUUUCUAACGGAUAGACAGUGGUAGAAAUUCAUUUUCCUUUCCUUUCCUUUCUAGCAACGUGUUUUUGUUCAAAGAUUUCAUAUUGAAUUAUAAUGACUUAAAAAAAGAUUUAUCUAAUGGUUUUGUAAGUCCAUGUUUUAUUGUAACAUCCUAUAACUCAGGUCUGACAACUGGGCCGAGCAAAGGGUGUUACAACUUGGAGGAUAUAUUUAUGAAAGAAAUUACUAAAAAUUAAAGGAUUAAUGUUUAGAAACAAGAAAAUUGAAGAAUUAUGGGUGCUUGAGGUGUCGGGAGAACAAAAAACAACAGAGGAAAAGAGAAGACACUGUUUCGAGUGGUUGGGCUAGGGCUCGUAAUGACGAGGCUCUCAAUUUCUUCAUAUAUCCUUGAACAUUUACUAAUUAAUCCUUUUAACUAAUAAAAAUCAAUAGUGAUUAACUUUUUUGGUUUUUACGAUUUAAUUCUUAUAGCUUAAUUAAUCGCUAAAUCGACAAAUUUACUAAUCCAAAAUUCAAUUCUCCUAUACAAUAACUUUGUAAAUAUUUAAUAAAAAUGUUUAAGAGCUCGGUUUACGGAAUCGAAGGUCCUGAUACCUCAUUUUUUGACACCACUAACUUUAGGGUCAAUUCAUUUGUACUUUAACUAACUAUCCAAUUAAAAAUUUUCACUAGAAAAAAUUCAAUAUAAAUUUAAAUAUUACUUAAUAAUAUUUAUGGACUCAAUUAUUGGAGAACGUGGUUCAAAACCACCAUUUCUGGCACCAUUGAAAAUCGGGUUGUUACAUGUAUUAAAGUGUGCUAGCUUGGAAAUGUUGGUUUGCUUGAACUUUAGGUUAAGCUUUGAUUAUGGAUUUUAAAGUUGUGUAUGUUUUGGCUAAGUGUCAAACUAGGUAUGUGAUGUUUUUAUAACCAAAUGAAUGGGAAAUGACAUGGUAAAUAAAGUUUUAGAAUGAACUAAUGUAUGAUUUGUUAGGUUGAACUUAAAUAAGUUAAGUUGGAAUGGUUUGGCAUCACCUGAAAGCUAGGUUGGAUUGGUUACUUGAAUUUGGUUGAAUGUGGUGAAUAGGUAUAUUUUGGAAUGUCCUUAUGCAGGUUUGAGUGAGUGUUGAUGCACCAAUUGUAUGCCGUGGCUCGGUUGAAUGAAAUAAGUAUCAAAAGACAUAGUUCGAGCCAAAAAUAGAGUCCACAUCGCAAUGUCAAGCAAUGGUCUUCGCAAUGAGGCUUGAACUUUAGACCAUAGCAUGAUGAGGAACCCUGUCAUCACAAUGAGGUCAAAACAUUUAGUCACGUCAUGACGAGAAAACCCUCCACAUCACGAUGUUAAAUGAAAAAUUUUAAAAAUGAUGCAAAUUGGUCCUGCUUCAAUUUUUGGUUAAUCUUAGAGCAUUCAUAGGCUCAUAUAAACUCGAGAAAGGUUGUAUGAUGUGAUUAUGUUAUGUAAUUGUUGUGUUUAAAUGAUUUUUAUUUUACAAUGUAUUAUAUUUGAUUGUAUUUACUCUAGCAUUGACUAUAGCAUUCCAUAGCUCAAACCUGACGAUCGGGUCGGGUGAAGGGUGUUACAUAACAUCACACAAAAUAUUUCAUUUUUUCAACAUGAAAUUGUAGGAUUUCAUCAAUUCUUCAUGUUUCUUUUCUUCAUUACACUCAUCUUAUUUAUUUUCCAUGAAUAACACUAUUAUUUACAUCCCUUUCUACACAUAACUUUAGCUUGGUUAAUAGUUAAAUCAAAGCAUCUUAGUAUAUAUUUAGGUUUCCAUGUUUGAAGUACUAAUUUAUGCUUUUUAGUAGUUUUUAUUACAUCUUAUAUAUCUAAAUAAAGUUACAUGGUCUUGUAGUACAAAUCAGGAGCUAAAGAUGCAUAUUCAAACCAAAACUAAUGUCCAUGUCGCGACACCAAGACACCAAUGUCACAACACUAAAGAAAAAAGAAAAAAUAAGUCCUGGAAUGAAACUGUCUGCUGUGUCGCGACACGCCAAUACUGUGUCGCGAUACACCCUCUAUGUUGCAACACGACUUCUGCAAGACCCAAAAAUCCCUGUAUGUGAUAGCUACGUUUUUUAGGGCAAUUAGGAGUAUUUUUCCUAAUUGAACUCUAAUUACUUCAAGAAUAGUUUAGGCACUUUAAUAUUCUGAGUUUAGCCUAUACAAAGUUUAUUAUGAUCAGAUUAAACACAUAAUUUUAGGGAAACAGAAGUUAUUUUGACAUUUUUAUUUCAUUCUUAAAUUUUGCUUAGUUUAUGUAUGUUAUUGUAAUCGGAAGAUCCUAUUCUGAAGUGAGACUUUCACGAGUGGAUAUUAUUUCAGAACCACGCUUCCAUCGAUAAAUUCAUGAACAUCUUUUUCCUUUAUUCUAUUAUUUAUAUUUCUUUCUUUAACAUUAUUAAUUGAAUGUUUGUGUAAAGAUUAGAAUCAAUUUAGGCUUUAUACAUAUUUUACAUGUUUCAACUAUAUUAACUUAAUUAAUUGAUUGGAAGGUAGUGUUUCAUUUGGAUUGGUUAGAUCUGGUUGAGUGCAAUUAAACCCUAGGAUUGACGACCCUAAGAAGUCAUCUAGGUAGAAAUGAACCCAAAAUCGGUAUGCCUACCAAGCAUCACUUAGAAAAUUAGUGGUUGGGGAAGGAAAAACUUAAACCCUAGGAUAGAUGACCCAAAGAAAUCAUAUAGGUGGGAAUGAAACUGAAAUCGGUAUUGCUUAUACGUGAAAACCUUAUCCUGCCUCGGCUUGAAUCGUGACAUUGAAAGAUAAGUAGUUCUUGUCGACUAGUUAAGUUAAUAGAAGGCUGAGAGGUCUUACUAGAUUAAUUACUAGCCAAUUAUUUAGAAUCCUACAUCAAUAAUUAAUCAAGUAAAUCAAUGGAUUUAGGCUAAAAGAACUCGCAUAGUCGAAACAAGGAAUAAGAGAAGUAGAUACAUUAACCUAGGAGUAGAUUUAGGUUUAGUUCAAUUAGUUUAUUAUUAUCAUCUUGUUUCCAGAUUAACAUUAUUAAUUCGUGACUUAAGUAGAUUAGUAAUUAUUUCUGGUAAUUAACUUAAUAUCAGUUUUCCCUAAAUUGUAAUCCCUUAGGUACAACCCUCGAAAUACUCUUAAUACUUCAUUGUACUAACAAACUAUAUUACAAUUUAAUUCGUACACUUGUGGACACCACCUAAUUUCCUAUCUUUUGUAGCAGUAUACACACUCCUGACAUUAGUACAUUCGGAGGUGGUCACUGAUUCACACUCAAAAGCAUCUGGUUUAUCCACCUUUGAUGUGAAAGUAACAAAGUUUCUCACUUGUUCAUUAUCUUGCUCUGAUUCUAAGUUGGUUUCCUCAUUACUCUAGGUCACACAUAGUGAUUAUCUCUUUUUCUUUUUAAGAGUAUUUACAUAUUUUGUUUGGAUAUGCCCAAAGCCAUUACACUCAUGACAUUGAAUUCCUUAUUUCUUCUCCUUACCAAGUUCAUUUAACUCAACUUUAUUUUUUUCUUUCUCCUUUUUGGAUAGCCUUAGAUGACUCAAAAUUUUUAUUCCUUCCAAAACUAAUUUUUUAUCCAUCUUGUUAAACCAUUGAGUAAGUAAAGCCAAUUAUUCUUACAUCUAUUUGAUAAUAGUGCUUUAUUUAGUGGGCACAGUUUCAGCCACAUAAAAACCAAUAUUCUUCUCAAAUUUUAAUUUGCCCUUCUUAGCCUUUUCCAUCUUGAUUUCAAAAGUUUUGAGAAAUCCAAUUAGCUCAUCAAUUCCCAUGCAUCAAUAUUCUUGGCCUUUUUUAUGGUUUUUACUUUGAUAUUGAGCCUCUCAGGUAUUGGCCUAAAAACCUUUUUUACAAGUUUAGAGUUUGAGUACUCAUUCCUUAAGGCAAAAACUUGAUUGUUUAGGUCAUAGAGUUUUGCAUAGAUCUUUCAAAUGGUCUCUGAUUCCUACAUCCUUAGAAUCUCAAAUUUAGUUUUCUAGACUUGAAGCUUUGAUUGUUUCAAUGUAUUAGUCCAUUCAUAGGUUGUCUUUAGAAUUUCCUAGACCUCAUUGGCUUCAGCAUACUCAGAGAUUUUCUUGAGCUCCUCUCCAUCUACCCAACAAAAAAAUAGCAUAAAAGGGUUUUAAAGUUGGUAACAGCAGUCUUUUCUUCUUCAGUAGUCCAGGGUGCCUUGGCCUUGAGAGUUUUUACUCUUUCAGUUUCAGUUAACGGAUGAGUCCAUCCAGUUACAACAAUCCUCCAAGCUCAUUCAUCCAUUAACUUAAAGAACACUUUCAUCUUAGCUUUCCAAUAUGUACAAUUUACUCCAUUGAGCAUAAGGGGCAUGAGAUUGAAGAUCAUUCCAUUCCAAACAAGUAUAUCAACCAAGAUAAUUGUUAUUUAUGUUUAGAGAGAGGCUUUGACACCAAUUAUAGAAACGAUGGGAUACGUACUUCAGUAAACAGAAAACUGUUGCUAAAAUAGUGCUUGGAACUGUAGUCAUAGUUUCAAUCGUGAAACCAAAAGUGCAUAUAUGUAAAGAGGAACAUUGAUAUUGUUUACGCAGUUCAACUUUAGCCUACACUUGUGGGCCUUACCUAGAGUAAUGAUCUAUUAUAUUUCUCACAAUACAACUGAUGAUUUAAGUCCCAACUAAUUUUCCAAAAUUAGGUUUUUUUUUAUCAUUUAAUUAGCUUAUUUUCAGGUAAUUUGAUUAGCUUUCUAGGAUUUUUUUGUUUUAGUAUUUCAUAUUCAACUUCAAUAAAAUAAGUGUUUUUGAGUGCUUUGAUGACCUGUUAGGACAAUCUAGGCCUAAUGAAAGACUACUGGGUUAAUUGAGUGUGCAGGACACCAUUUUAGGCCAAUGAAUCGAAGAAACAACUUCAAUGUCGCGACAUCCACCAGAGGUGUCGCGACAUCCGCCGGUGGUGUCACGAUCAUCAACUUUAAAGCAAAAUUGGGGUAUUAAAGGUGUCAAUGUCAUGGCACUCUACUUUGAACCUUCAGGAGAAAUCAUUCACUUUUGAUGUCGCGACACCAGAGUGCAAUGUCGCAACACCCAACUUUAAGGCCAAGGAAGUUCCAAUUUCAUGUUAAAUGUCAUGACACUGGUCUUGUGGUGUCGCGACAUCAAUUCAACGAGGCCAAAUUAUAGCUAAGGGUGUUUUCGUCUGACAAGCCAUUUUAAUCCGUCUUAAUCACUUGUAUUUGACCUAAUAUGAUCAGAAAAUAGCAAACUAUAUAUAGCAACACUUAAUACCUAAUUGAUGGAGCUUAUUCCCUUAGUUUUAGUUUUAGUUUAUGGAUUUAAGGUUUGUUAAUUGGGAAUUUAUUGCUACUUCAGCUUUGGAUUCAAUUGCAAUUUUAGUUCGGAUUAUGAUCGAGUUUUGUUCAACGACUGUUAAACGAGUUUUCAGUUUCGCGCCCAAUCGACAUCCCAAUGGAUCAAAAUCUCUUUUCCCUUCUUUGUUAUUUUUAUAUUUGUUUGAAUGCGUGAAUUGAAAUUAGUGAAAUUUGCAUCUAGAUUCACGAGGAACUAAACCCGUAGGGAGAUUAACGAGCAGAGGUGGAAUUAAUUGACUGAAGCAUUAGGGUUUGUUUUAGAAUUAGUUGAAUUAAAUUGAGUGCAAUUAAACCUUAGAUUGACGACCCUAGUAAGUUUUUUUUAGGUAGAUGAGGUCAAAAGAAUAAUUUAUCAAACAUCUCUUGAUUUAACCCAAUUUAAACUAUGAAGUCAAAAGAUAAAUAACUUAUGUCUGUUAGUUAAGUUAAUUUGAGACCAAAAGGUAAUAACUAUAUUAAUUCUUAACUAAUUCAUCCAAAACCUUAAGUUAGAAGUUAAUAUAGGUUUUUGAGUUGGCUAGGCUAAGUCAAGUUUAGGCCCGAGUUUAUUUUUUAUUUUUUAAAAUCGAGUUAAGAUAGAAUUCAUGAACAAAUCUAAAAAUAAUUAUGUGGCUUUAUGCUUAUGAAGAUUUCUAAUAAACUAUAUUUGUUUGUCCUCAAAUUGUAAUUAAAUGUCAAAAAAUAUUUAGAAAAAGAAAAUCAUCAUGUUAAUUGCCGGCUAUAGAAAAAUCUAACUUUACAUUAGCACUCUUGUUAUACGACAGCACCCAGAUGGAGUGAAAUAAUAGGAGUCAGUCAAGUUGAACUAGAAGGAGAAAGAUUAGGAAAUGAUGAAGAGCAGAUUUGAUGUUGUUCUAGUCUUCUUUCCCCAUGAGUUUUGAUGACACAUGUUUGGAGAUUGGACUUUCAACGUAUCUUCCCUUGCUUUCCUUACUUUGCUGUAGUUUGGGGUAUCUUUCAUCAUACCAUCUACUUUCCUCCAUCUUUAACUACAGUACAGUACACGUGGGGUUCGUUUCUUUUGCCUUCUUUCAUUUAGGACACAUCCAACCCAUUGCACUUAUGAAACAUUGCAUCUUUGAGGUUUAUUAUCGAAAACAUUCACCACCCCAGAUCAUAUCUUUUUCUGCUUCUCUCACUCUCUUCCCAUAACUCCAGCUUUUUGGUGAAUGAAUGAGCAUUGAAAAAGCUUCCAUCUUUUCGAGUUUCUGAUAUAUGUUUUUUUUUACUAUUUACAAAGGGGGUAAACUUUUAUGAUGAUUACUUGCUAGAUAUAGAUGUUUGAGCCCUUUCCUCUUUUAGAAUUAUGGAUUCUGGGAGUAGGAUUUACACGGCUGAUGAGUUCAAAUUGGAUGCUAAAUGGUUGAUUGAUCCAAAGCAUCUCUUUGUUGGUCCAAGAAUCGGAGAAGGAGCUCAUGCCAAGGUCUAUAAGGGAAAGUAAGUUUGCAAAAUCCUUUACUUGUUUCCAUCUUUGAUUACUGGUUUGUAUUUUUCUGGGUAACGCCUUCACUGUGAGUCCCAACUUUUUUUUCUCUUUGCCAAAUUCACCUACUUCAUCAUUACAUUGUUCAAAAUCUAUCAGUUGGGGGAAUUAGUAGUCUUUCUGAUUUAUUUGUGGGUUUUACGUUUAGCUGAUAUUCCAGGCAUUCAUGUCUAGUUUAUGUUCUAUUCUUUCCCCAUUUUGUCUAAAACUUUAAUCUGUUUCCCAAACAGAAACUGGGGAGUGGGAAUACCUAAUUCUUCUUGUAAAAUAGUGAAGACUUUCAUUGAAUUAUACUUAGUUGCAUCUGGAUUGAGAUCUUGAAUAUGUUUUCAGCCCGUUUUAUCCGUAAUUUUAUAUAUAUAUAUAUUGUUUGUAGCAAUGUCACCUUUUCUCUCUCAACUUUCUUUCUUUUGUCUCCUCUUUUUGCAGAUAUAAAAACCAGACUGUUGCAAUUAAAAUACUUCAUAAGGGAGAAACUCCUGAGGAGAUAGCCAAGAGAGAAGGACGGUUUGCAAGAGAGGUUGCAAUGUUGUCUAGAGUGCAGCAUAAAAAUCUAGUGAAGGUAGGAUUGGAUACAGUUCCCUUAGCAUAGUUGCUUAUGUGAUGUUUAAGUGAUGAUAAUACUUGACUAGCCAUUGUAAUAGUUUCUUUCAAUUCUAACUCUGAUUGUUGAACCCUUGUCUUUAACAGUUUAUUGGUGCCUGCAAGGAGCCUGUAAUGGUGAUAGUUACUGAGCUUCUGCUGGGUGGGACUCUACGGAGGUAUUUGCUGAACAUGCGGCCGAGGUGCUUAGAUAUGCGUGUUGCUAUUGGUUUCGCACUUGAUAUAGCUUGUGGUAUGGAAUGCUUGCAUUCUCAUGGGAUCAUACACCGUGAUCUGAAGCCUGGUAAUUCUCUCAUUUUACAUCUGCAUUUUCUGGGUUUUGAAAUUUGAACGUGGAUAAGGUUUGGAUUUUGCUUUACGGAGGCAUAGGGCAAUUUUGAAUCAGAUGGCCACAUCAAUUAAGUGAAUUAGUUUCUUGAUUGCCGGUGGGCUUUAUUGAGUUUUUUCAUCUCUAAGAACUAUGAAGGGAUGCAAGAAGAUUAUGCAGUUCAUGCAUGUGAAAAUGGGUGGGAACUCUAAGAAGUUGUAAGGAAAAUAUUAAAUUUCAGCUCAGUAUUCAGAAUGAAAAAUUGUGUAGAGCCGGGCAUUUUGACAUGCAAGUAUUGUGUUGCAUAUAAAUCUGAUGCAGUUGGUUGGCAUCAAGGAACCUAUAAAAGCCCCAAUUGUAUUAUAUAAGUAAAAAUCAGUUGCAUCCGAUAUAAUUGGAGAAAAGCAUGGAUUUGCUUCCAAUGGAAACCAAAUUGAAUCUCUUCCAGAUGUUGGGUUCACUCGUCCUGCUAAAGAUAGUAUCACAAAAGGUAUAAAAUCAUUACCGUUAAGUCUAUUAAGCUGCAUAUUGAUUGUUUUAGGUGGUGAAACUAGGGUCUCAUGUUUUAUUGUCAUCUUAUAUUUGUCUGUUGUUGUUUUGCUGUACUUGUAUAAUGGCUAUAAAGAAAAUAAUAACAUUUGACAUAAGAGAACCAGUUGUGUGAGUUAACUUAUGUGUUACAACUUAAUCCUGCUUAACUAGAAGUUAUGCACAUCCAUCUUUAAUGCCCCCUCAAACGGUUGAAACAGAAAACUUGAUGCUAGCGACACGAAUGAUUCAACAUAGCAUUGGGAGGUCAUAAUUUUCACUGUAUCUGCAUAUUCUCUCUGCAGAAAACUUGCUUUUGACAGCAGACAAUAGAACAGUUAAACUAGCAGAUUUUGGCUUAGCGCGAGAGGAACAUACCGCUGGAUGGCUCCAGAGGUACUUAUAUUUUCACCUUGGUUUGUUGUUCAGUCCUUUUCAUACUAAACCACUAAUUAAUCUUGGUUGUGUGGCUAAACUAUGAUAGUUGUACAGCACUGUCACAUUAAGGCAAGGAGAAACGAAGCAUUAUAACCAUAAAGUGGAUGCCUACAGCUUUGCGAUUGUGCUAUGGGAGCUCCUGCACAACAAGUUACCAUUUGAAGGCAUGUCAAAUCUCCAGGCAGCAUAUUCAGCUGCUUUUAAGGUAAUAACCCCCCAUGUAACGUUUCUAGUCCAGUCGUGUUAUACUGAUUGAUUAAAGUAGCUUGUGUGCUAAAACCUUUUGUAUUUCAAGUAUUGUUAAAUUUAGCUGAUGUUUUGCAAUACAGAAUGUGAGGCCUAGUGCUGAAAACCUGCCGGAGGAAUUGGCCAUCAUUCUAACAUCAUCUUGGAAGGAGGACCCAAAUGCUCGUCCUAAUUUCAGUGAAAUAAUCCAGAUGCUCCUAAAUUUUAUUUCUGGUAUGUGUCCUCCUGAGCCAACAGCUAUUCCUCCUCGAAUUUUUGCUUCAGAGAACUCCAUCUUGGCGCCCGAGUCUCCAGGUACGAGCUCUUUGAUGGGAGUCCGUGACGAUUCUGAGGAAACCCCCAAAGCCAGGAAAGAUAAAAAACAGAGGAGUUUCUUCUUCUGCUUUGACCAUGUUGGAAUCAAAAGAAGCCAAAGAGGGCUCGCUUGCCUAACAAGUAAGCUUUUUGAUAACAUCGAACGGUAUAUAUUUUAGAAUGAUAAGUGACACUAAGUGGAAGUCCUGUUCAGUUGGGUAAAAGCAAAUGUUGGCAUCUAUCUCAUCUUGAUGUUUCUGUCAUUUUGUGCUCACGAUAGUUCAUAGUUGGAAAUAAAUGGCUCUGAUCAUCAUCAGUAAUUGGUCAGUUGGGGGGUAUAUUACAAUGUUUAAUGAUAAGAUGGGUGUAGGAAGGAAUUUCUUUUCUUUUUUCUUGUAAAAGAAGAAGAAAUUGUAAGAAUUACAAGUGUUAAUCACUCUAAAGGAGAAGAAAGCAACACGGCCUCAGACUAAGAGGUUAGAGUAGCUGUAAACGAUUCCUAUUACUAGCAACAGUUUUUUCGUAAUUAUGUUAUACUCUUGCAUUAAUGCACUUCAAAACAAUUUUCAUUGCAAUUUGCAAGUAGUGUUUUUAUAAGAAUGUGAUCCAAAUAUGCAGGGGGUUCCAAUAUCUUACUCAAAAUAUUUCAGUGAAAUAGUUCCAAGAAAGCAGGCAAGCUUAAAAUAAUUUUUCUUGAUGCUAGGGAUUCGAUUCUGGAACUUUUUUUUCAGAGGGGUUGAUGGCAAAUUAGUUCGAUUCCCAUUAGCAAAAUUCGAGAGGAUCUGCUUUUCAGGGUAUCUUUUUGGCUCUAACAAACGUGUCUCCUAAACCAGCCACUGGAACCUCAAACACGUGUUCACUAUCAUAAAGAAAUUCUGAUUACUGUAUAGGUCAUUGAAUAAUGCAGCAGGCGACAUCACAUUCUAACCAAAUCAUUCUGUCGUUGGUUCUUUUUCUUUUACCUAUAUUUUAUUCCUCCGUCUUUAUAUGUGAUUAAACUGAAUCCAACUUGAUAAAGCAGCGAACAGGAUGCAAUCUUAUCACUUACGAAUAAAUAAUAUAAGGUUGCUAUAAAUGUGCAGCUUCUAAUAUUACAAGCUUACUCAUAGCCAUAGUUGGAAGCGAAGGGAGUAGUACAGACAACAAUGAGAAGGAGCUUAGUAUAUACUCCCAGACAGAAUUCCGGUUGGGACACCACGUCCCAAGACUACCAAGCUCAUCUUUCCCGAAUGGAAAGAUCAGCCACCAUGAUCCCUGGUGCCCCUCAGUAGCCCAAUGUCCACAAGGCCUUCAACAACAAGGUUGAGUUUCCAGAAGAAGAUCAGUGCGCUGAGCGGUCCCCAACGGCAAACUCCCGAAAGAAGGUUCAGGUGGUUGAGCAUGCAGAGACCGUUGAUGAAGCCACCCUUGAUUCUCAAGCUGAUGGCUACAUCCAGCAGAAACACAAAGCCUUUGAACUGUGCAAAUGGAAGACCUUCAAAAUGCACUAGAGUCUGAGACUUUUGGAGCAAGCAUGUCGAUCAUGAUUUAACGACAGGCCACGUAACUUAAAUAUAUGAAGUAUUGCUGCUCAUACACUAGUUAAAUAAAUGACCUGUCACUGUCUUGGAGAGCUACCAAGACUCUGUGUUUUCUUUUUUCUCUUUUUCUUUGUAAGUUAACUAAGCUCUUAAUGGUGGUUGCUUGGAUAGCAUAGUAAUUGCUCUUAGGUGUGGCCUGAUAUGUAGUUGCUGUUAAUUGAAAAUUAUUUAUGAAUACUAAUAUAUAGUAUACACAUAUACAUUACCUUCGUAUGCAGUAAUUCCAGCAGAAUCAAUAUAUAUAUAUACAACAUAUCUAAUCAAGCCACUAUAGUAUUGAUCGAGUUGCCUUCUGGAUCCUGUCCAAUUGUUAACUGAGAUAACGUGAAUGGUUCAUCAGUCUUAGCACCCGACCCGACCCUGACUGUUGAAGUAAUCAAACAGUUAAAUUUAAAGUAAUUGAGCCAACAAUUCAAAGAAGCAAGUGAUUCAAGUUUUGUGUUAACACCUCAAGUACUCCAAAGUAGGACCCUAAAUUGUAAUGCAAAUAAAAAAUAAAAUAUCGAUGUGAUUGAAGAAACUAAUAAUAUGCUUGAGGUGAAUGGAAGCCUAGGCCUAGCUGACAAUUGUGGCAACGCUGGAAAUAUAUCCUAAAAACCUUGUUCCAUGUGCAAGCCUACAAGUUUGGUGGUUCUAGACAUCAAAUAACUUGAUCAGAAAUGAGUUGGUUCUUCACAUUAAAUAACUCACUUGUAAAUAAAAAUAUAUAUUAUAAUUUUUAAUGUGUUAUCUGAACAACUUUUAGACGACUCCAAAUGCACAGAUAUUGAAAAGAGGAUUCCAAUUAAAACUUGGGAAAAGAGGAUGGAUAACCUUCAAAAUAGGUUAUCUGUUGGAUCUCAGACUACCAAAGGAACUACUAUCAAUAUGUUUAUUGUUGCAGGACGAAAAAUGUGGUACUGUUGACCCACAAAUCCAAUUCACACUUCACAUAGACCUAAGACUAGCAGGAAACAGAAAAAGGAUCACAAACCAUUGUUAUCUUCACGGGGGAUUUUAAUAUCAGCUUCAACGAAUCUCCUAGAAGACACCCUUUUUAACAGAUUUCUAAGGCUGUUCUUACUCUCCUUUCCCCUUUUUUGUGCUCUACUUGAAUUUCCUUCUAACUCUGACCCAGCUGCUGAAAAAGGGUCAUCGAGAACCAGAGCAGUCUCAAGCUUUUUGGCCAGGGUGACAAGCUCAUAUGAAUCCCACAGUGAUUGGGCGAAGUCCCAAUGUGGAGUACUAGCAAUACUAGUGCGCUCGUCCUUAAGCUUCACAGAUGGGUUGCUCAUUGCUUCAAGCUUGAAUCUUGAAGGCCUAGCUUUGAAAUGUCGACGUGGGUAAGCAUCGAAUUCAUUGGUAGACCUAGAGGUACCGGAGUGAGAGUGCCAGGCUUGUGCUACUGCUUUGAUGAUUUGAAGGUCUUUGUUGAUGUCAUGUUGAGGCUGGAGCUGCUUUUUCUUCAUCGGUGGUGCUCUGUAGGAAUUAGGUCAUGAUGUAGGGGCCAAUCCAUACUGCUGUGGCAUCCUAUUCCUUGGGAUAAAUUUGAGCCUCACACGCUAGCUGUCGUAGAUAGAAUAUUGUAGUCUGAUCCUAACCUAGCUAGCUAAUUUAUGUGAUGAACAUCACUCCACAUUUAUAAAGAUUAAUUUUUUGGUUUUUCUAAUUAACUGAAAAAUCUGCUGCAUGGAGUGUAAUUCUAAAGCAUGGGCAUGAAUGCUUGUGGUGUGCCCACAGAAAUAGAAAUGAGAGAUUGAUUGGCGGGUGGGUGGGUGGACGGGCGGAUGGAUGGAUAGAUGAUUGUUCUAGGCUAAAUUCUGUUAUUACUACCUGCCUUUAUACUUUUUAAAAAUUUAAAAUUUUAGUCCUCAACUAAUGAUAAUUAUUAAAUUCAUUGAAUUAAGCUUUGCUAUUUUCAAAUUUUGAUGCAGUAAACAUACUAUCAUAUGAAUAAUAACACGUCUGUCAAAACCAUUUUUUAUUUUGAAAAAAACGAGGAUUGACUUUUAAAACCAAAUGUCGAGUUGCCACCAAUCUUUUUGUUUAGGUGUGAUUGGAUCACUUAAUAAAACAUUUUGUUUCACUUAAAAUAAUUUUGUUCUACGUAAAUUUAAAAAUAGGUUCAGGAGCCGGUUACGUAUGAGGAAGGGUUAGCACCCUCACUACGCCCAAAAACUGGUACCAGAUUGAUUAAUUGAUGUCCUUAUGUCUAGGCUUUUUAAAAAAAUUUGAAAUGUGGUUCCUUUUUAAAACAUUUGAGUGAUUUUAGCUGGUCGUCAAAACUUUCUCGUUUCAAAAGUAUAAAGCAUCACAUCCAGCACGAUAGGACACGACCCUUUAUACUUUUGAGAACACGAUUGAGUUUUGACUUCCAAAAGCUCUUAGGUCAAAAGUUACAAAAGGGUGUCCAGAUAUUUAGUCCAACGAAAAAUCAAAACCCAGCACGUUAGGGCACGAUUUCUCGAAUUUCUAAAUACUGAACAUUGCCUUAUUUUAGGAUUUUUAAAAAAAUUUGUAAACUCAAAACAUAUUAAUUUUAUUUGAAAUUCAAUGGAAUAGUUGAUUUUAACGAGUUGGGAAUUAUAAAGCAACAUUUUGUAAACCAAAAGAAAAAUAAUUAGCAUGGGAUAAUAUACAUGCUUAAAAUACAAUACUUGGUGAACGAAGAUAACAUAACCUUAUUUAACCAACUAAAUCAAACAAUUGAAUAUAGUUAAUCUAAGCAAAAUGAAACCAUCCUUCCUAGCAUGUAUGGAGAACAAUUGAGAUAAUAAUAAAAAUGAAAGAAAUAGUACAACAAUAAUGUAUAGAUUAAUAUAAUACAACCAAUGCAAAAUAUACAUAACAAAAUGAAAAAAAAAAAUAGAAAAAAUAUGGUAUAAGACAAAUUUUAAAUAAUGAUGAACACAUAAUAUAUGAAUUGAUGUGAUGAAUUUGAAACUAUUUGUAAAAACAACCUAGAGAUAUAUAUGUAAUCCUCAAAAUAUGUAUUAUAGAAUGAAGAUUUUUAGAUCAAAUAACAUACAAAGUGUUAAAAACAUUUGUUAAAAUAUAUACAAUAAAGGAAAAUUUAAUAAUAUAUAAAAUAUGAAAGGAUAGCAAUAAUACAUAAUAAGAUAUAAUCUUAGGAAAUACACAUAAUAGGUUUACAAAACAUAUAUAUAUAUAUAUAAAUAGAUUGAGAAAUAAUUAUUUGUAAAAAUAGCAUGGAAUUAAUAAUGCAUAUAAAAUUAAGUUAAUUUAUAAAUUAUAUAUGUAAUAGAUUAAAAAACACAAUUAUAUAUACAAAUAUAAAAUCUAUAUGUAUAAAAUAACAUGGCGUUAAUAACAUAUAUAGGUCAACUAUAAGUACCAAGUAUAUGCCUAAUAAUAAUUUAAAUUACACAUAAAGUAGAUGGAUUUCCCCUUAAAUAACAAAAAGAAUACAUACAUUAAAAUAUGUGAAUAGAUUCACAAGAAAAUAAUAUAAAAUUAAUAGUAUACAUAAACUAAAAUGAAUUUUAUUACAAAUUAUAUAUAUAAAAUAGUAUUCAAAAUGUUAAAGUGAUAGAAUAAAAGAGAAAAAAAUAUAAUAAUGGUUUUUAUAAUAAUGUUAAAAUAAGGAUAAAACAAACUUAAUUAAAACAAAAUUGAAACAAAAGGGACAAUUUACAAAUAAAAUAAUCGUAAAGAGGAUCAAUGUGCAAUGUGCGCAAAUGUAAGGGACUAGAAUUGGAAAUACCCCCGAGCCCAAAACGUUGCGUUGUACCGCGGACCAAAAUGAAAAUAUGCAUAAAUUAUAGAGCCAAAUUAAAAAAAAACAAAGUAAAAUGCAUAAAGCGCAAUCGACGACUCGUGCGAAAGGGGAGGACCGUGCACGCAAUUAUCCCUCUAAGGCCCAAACACGCGGAUCUCAUCCGAACACGGGCCGGGUCAUCGGGUCGCGACUACCAUAUGGCGUCGUUUUUAAACCAUUAAAGUUGGUCAAAACAGCGCCGUUUCCAAUCCUUUAAAAUGGCUAAAUUAGCCGAAUUUGAUUAAUUUCCUUCUUUUUCCUUUAGCAAACCCUAAAUUCCCCCCUAACCGCCGAUUCCUCUCUAUGAUAAGGUGCCUUUGAGGAAUAAUCUCUCAGCUUUGACCUUCCUUCAACUUCGAUUCCAACGAAGCAAAGAGAAGAUCCAUGGCGUAUUCGCACGGUAAGGUUUGCUUCCUUCCUUUGUUUUCUUUUUUCUUUUUAAAAAAAUGCAACAAUGAUGUAUUCUAGAAAGCAAAUCGAAAAGAAAAAAAACUUAGAAAAACUCAAAUCAGAAAUCAUCUUGAAAAUUUUGACUGAUUUCCUCUCUAUUCGAUUUGCAUGCGUAUAGUGUGCGUAAGUUUUUUCUUUUACAGAUUACAUUCGGUUUUUAUAGCCAAGUGAAAUAAAAAAUAAUAACAAUAAUAAUUACAGAACGAUUUUUCUUUUUUGUUAUUCCUCUGUUGCUGUGGCUUGUGGGUUUGUUGCAGGUACAGCUGUGCAUGGAGAAACUGCUCGUGGGCGAUAGUGCGAAGGCUUCCAGAAGCUUCAAUGUUUGGGCCCUAUGAGCCUGCUUUGAAAUCGGCUGGCUGGAGGCUGUUGUGAAGGCCACUGGUGGUUGCUUGCGGCGCGAGGGGACGUUCGUGGGAGCUGCGGCGCUGUUUAGCUCGGAUUUCAAUUUCUGGAACAGAAAUUUUGGGCCAUUUGGGCUAGUUCUGGGAUUGGGCCUAUUAGGGACUUAAUUUAUUCGGGUAUUGGGUUGUUGAUUUGGGUUAGGGGACUAAAUUGGGCUGGGUUUAUUUGUAAAAAUGUUACAAUUUGUAUGAGGAUUGUUUUUGGACUUUAAUUUUGGUGUUUUUUAUUUUGAUUCUUUUUUUUUUUGGUUUUUGUGUAAGCCCGGGCGAAAUGGGCCUAUUACAAAACAUAUGAAAAAUGAUUAACCACUGUCAUAUGAAGGACUUAGUUUUGUUUUAUUGUUUGUUUUUGUCAAUUUAUUAUUUUCACAUAUUAUCAGCAAGAAAUUCAUUUAAUGGAUUAAUCACUGUUGUUUGCUUUAAGAUUGAAAUUUCAAAUUUUGAAAAAUAUAUG